AGGAUCAUUAUCGAAUUAUUUGCGAGGGUUGUCGCUGGCCUCGAAGGAGGCGUGUGCACGCCCGAACUCUUAAAUCCACACCAGACCUGUGAUCCCACCGUAUGCCUUCGGGCUUAUGUAUCAGAUACUCUGAAUGUGUCAUACAAUGUUCAUGUUGCCUUAAAACGCAUUCAGAUACUACUUUCAGCAACGGAUCUCUUGGCUCUCGCAUCGAUGAAGAACGCAUCGAAAUGCGAUAAGUAAUGUGAAUUGCAGAUUUUCAGUGAAUCAUCGAAUCUUUGAACGCACCUUGCGCUCCUUGGUAUUCCGAGGAGCAUGCCUGUUUGAGUGUCAUUAAAUUCUCAACCCCACCGAUUUGCUUCGGGGGGAUUGGACUUGGAGCGUGCUGGCCAAAGUCGGCUCCUCUUUAAAUGCAUCAGUGGAGAGAAACUUGCCCCAGUGUGAUAAUCCUGUUGCGCUGUGGUGGGUGAAAGUCUGCUUCCAACCGUCCCUCCGGGGACAUACGUCAUCUUAUUUUGACCUCAAAUCAGGUAGGACUACCCGCUGAACUUAAGCAUAUCAAUAAGCGGAGGAAAAGAAACUAACAAGGAUUCCCCUAGUAACUGCGAGUGAAGCGGGAAAAGCUCAAUUUAAAAUCUGGCGGUCGCUAUGGCCGUCCGAGUUGUAAUCUGGAGAACUUUUUCC
rnacentral:rRNA from 1 species